AUUGAACGCUGGCGGCAUGCUUUACACAUGCAAGUCGAACGGCAGCGCGGGGCAACCUGGCGGCGAGUGGCGAACGGGUGAGUAAUAUAUCGGAACGUACCCAGAAGUGGGGGAUAACGUAGCGAAAGUUACGCUAAUACCGCAUACGAUCUACGGAUGAAAGUAGGGGACCGCAAGGCCUGAUGCUUUUGGAGCGGCCGAUAUCUGAUUAGCUAGUUGGUGAGGUAAAGGCUCACCAAGGCGACGAUCAGUAGCUGGUCUGAGAGGACGACCAGCCACACUGGAACUGAGACACGGUCCAGACUCCUACGGGAGGCAGCAGUGGGGAAUUUUGGACAAUGGGCGCAAGCCUGAUCCAGCAAUGCCGCGUGAGUGAAGAAGGCCUUCGGGUUGUAAAGCUCUUUUGUCAGGGAAGAAACGGUAGAGGCUAAUAUCCUUUGCUAAUGACGGUACCUGAAGAAUAAGCACCGGCUAACUACGU
rnacentral:rRNA from 1 species